CGGGAGGCAGCAGUAGGGAAUCUUCNCCAAUGGACGAAAGUCUGANGAGCAANNCNNNNUNNNUGAAGNAGGGUUUCGGCUCGUAAAACUCUGNUNNUAAAGAAGAACNUAUCUGAGAGUAACUNUCAGGUAUUGACGGUAUUUAACCAGAAAGCNACGGCUAACUACGUGCCAGCAGCCGCGGUAAUACGUAGGUGGCAAGCGUUGUCCGGAUUUAUUGGGCGUAAAGCGAGCGCAGGCGGUUUUUUAAGUCUGAUGUGAAAGCUUUCGGCUCAACCGAAGAAGUGCAUCGGAAACUGGGAAACUUGAGUGCAGAAGAGGACAGUGGAACUCCAUGUGUAGCGGUGAAAUGCGUAGAUAUAUGGAAGAACACCAGUGGCGAAGGCGGCUGUCUGGUCUGUAACUGACGCUGAGGCUCGAAAGUAUGGGUAGCAAACAGGAUUAGAUACCCUGGUAGUCCAUACCGUAAACGAUGAAUGCUAAGUGUUGGAGGGUUUCCGCCCUUCAGUGCUGCAGCUAACGCAUUAAGCAUUCCGCCUGGGGAGUACGGCCGCAAGGCUGAAACUCAAAGGAAUUGACGGGGGCCCGCACAAGCGGUGGAGCAUGUGGUUUAAUUCGAAGCUACGCGAAGAACCUUACCAGGUCUUGACAUACUAUGCAAAUCUAAGAGAUUAGACGUUCCCUUCGGGGACAUGGAUACAGGUGGUGCAUGGUUGUCGUCAGCUCGUGUCGUGAGAUGUUG
rnacentral:rRNA from 1 species